AAACAUUAUCUAAAAGUUGUAUCUGUUCUUAUCAGUUUAAUAUCUGAUAUGUCCUUUAUUUGAGGACUGUAUAUUAAAUUGAUUUUUGAAACAGGGGGCUGGAAUAGGAGCUUGAUCUCUCCACCCCAUGCAUUGACCUGAUAUUGCAGUGACUCCAGGACCGGGCUUUUAAA
rnacentral:snRNA from 1 species